GGAAGACUCUGACGUCCUCAUGAGCCUGUACGAUGCCAAGGAACAAAAGCACAUAAGUGAAAGUUACGUGGCCAAGUGGAGUAGCAAAGGCAUACCUAGAGAUAUCAGUCUCCUAUACAGUCUUAAGACAAUAUUUACGGAUCUCGGUGCUAAGGAUCUACAGAGAGAAAA